rnacentral:rRNA from 1 species
AUCUGCGGCCAUAGAACCUUGAAAGCACCGCAUCCCGUCCGAUCUGCGAAGUUAAGCAAGGUAUCGCCUAGUCAGUACUGCGGUUGGGGACCACGCGGGAAUCCUAGGUGCUGCAGUUCUUU